AUUUUGGAAGUGUCUGCCCCCCACACCCAUGCAGACUGCAGCUUGUGGGAAUAAAAAGAAAACGAGCACCUCCCAGCUGUGACCCUUGGGAUUCUGGACCAGAAAAUUCCCACAUGGUGCUGCCUGGUACACACCACUUGGGAGACAAUUAUGAACAUGCUGUUGGGAAUUAAUCAAGACUGCUUAAGUGACCGAAGGGCAGGCUGCCAGGAGGAUGCAAGGAGGCGCCCAUGGAUCCACGAGCAGGCAGCCUCAUCUCCUCUGGGACCGACACUGGAGCCCCCGGGGAACUGCAUGGACGGUGCCCUAGGAGCAGCUCUCAGCUGAACGACAGAGCUGCUUGGUUUACAGAGGGCAGUUCCAGGAGGCAUGGACAGUAUCCUGGUUGGAGGGCUGCUGCAGUAAGACCAGGGGAUGGCAAGACUGGCUGGGAGGAAGGAGAUAAACGUGAUCUCAGUGGGCUGAAUUCCAUGCCCUUUUCUGGGCAGUGACGGGAGAAUGGAGCAGUGAGGAAAGCCCCUCGUGCUGGGGUUCCUAUGACUUGGGGCUGUGGAUACUGGCCUGACUGUGUGGCCACGUAGACAGGAAAUGGGAAACUGGACUAUGAAAGCAAUGCCCACGUGGACAACGGCCAUAUGGAUAUUGCCCUGGGAAUUUGAGGGGCACGUUAAAGCAGGCCAUGUUGGUUUGUAUCAGAAGAAGCCUUUCUAGGAGUGGGAGGUGACUGUAGCCACCAGGUGGGCCUGCUGGUGCGGCCCUUGGAGGCAGCCGCCGGGGUCCAUACAAAGAGUGGCUGUGGGGAGCUGCAGCAGCGCGCGCACAGGCUGAGUCUACGCGUAUUCCUCUUGCACCCUGUGAGGCACGGAAUGCCAGCAAGACCUGUUCCGACUGUCAGCUAAAGAGACAGACACUGCAUUUGGCUAUGGGGAAAGUUCCCCAGUGGGCACGCCCUGCACAUAGCUGGCCAGUGGGUGAGAUUGGAUCAACGCUGCUACCGCUCGGAGGCUGUAAGUGGGUCGUUAGCAGAGUAGACACUUAUUCGGGACUAUGCUUUGCAUACCCAGUGGUAGGUGAAAUGCUGAAGACACCGUUUAAGGUUUGGAACUGAAGAUUCUAUACCAGUUUGGACAGCCAGGUUACAUCUCCGACCAGGGGACACGCUUUACCGACCAUGCUGUUCCACGGUGGGCCGAGAAACAUCCCAUCAGACGGAUGUACAGUGUUGCAUGUCACUCUCAGAGCAAUGGUUUAAUAGAAAAUUGGAACGGGC